rnacentral:rRNA from 1 species
UUCUCCCUGGGAAACGGGUGGUAAUGCCGGAUGCUCCAGUUGAUCGCAUGGUCUUCUGGGAAAGCUUUCGCGGUAUGGGAUGGGGUCGCGUCCUAUCAGCUUGACGGCGGGGUAACGGCCCACCGUGGCUUCGACGGGUAGCCGGCCUGAGAGGGCGACCGGCCACAUUGGGACUGAGAUACGGCCCAGACUCCUACGGGAGGCAGCAGUGGGGAAUAUUGCACAAUGGGCGCAAGCCUGAUGCAGCGACGCCGCGUGAGGGAUGGAGGCCUUCGGGUUGUAAACCUCUUUUAUCGGGGAGCAAGCGAGAGUGAGUUUACCCGUUGAAUAAGCACCGGCUAACUACGUGCCAGCAGCCGCGGUAAUACGUAGGGUGCAAGCGUUAUCCGGAAUUAUUGGGCGUAAAGGGCUCGUAGGCGGUUCGUCGCGUCCGGUGUGAAAGUCCAUCGCUUAACGGUGGAUCCGCGCCGGGUACGGGCGGGCUUGAGUGCGGUAGGGGAGACUGGAAUUCCCGGUGUAACGGUGGAAUGUGUAGAUAUCGGAAAAGAACACCA